GGUGUCAGGCACGAUGAACAGCACUUCCAGCACUGCCUCCACGUGGGGUGGAACAUUCCAUUGAAGUAUCAUGGGAACAUCUAAAGAUUAGAAGGCACAAAGCUUAAGAGCAGGAACCAGAAGACAAGAGAUUAAGAAGUCUGAAGAUAACUUCACGUUUCCAAAGAUGCUGCACAUCAGAGAGGAUUGAGGGCAGAGAAAGCAGCCAACCAUGUGCAGUGCAAAGGAGGUAGCUACAGGCUUCAUGUUUAACUCUCCAGAUACACUCUUCCAGGAGGAAACAGGAGGUCAGCCUGUCCAAAUGCUCUUAGAGCAAACGAGUGAUGAGAAUGAAGACACACAAAGCCAUCUGAAGCAGAAAUAAUGCCAAGAACGUGGACUUGCUUGUGAUUGGGAACAGGUCUGUUUGUCAAGAGAGAACAAAGGAAGCCAAGAAUUACACAUAAUGUGAUACCUUUUAACUAAAAAGGCUCUUUUGCACCUUUACUGCCUUGAUCUAUGGCAAGCCCAGGUCACAAGCAUUAGGUGUUUCCAGGCUUUUCAGUAGAAGCCUAAUAACCACAGAGGAGCACAAAUAACGCAGCAUGCCAGGCUGUUUCCUGCUGCAGCUGGUCAGGACAAGGUAAGUCCAUUCCCUUGGGACACAGUUCCAAUGGCACAGAGAAGGAAAGAGUCACACACAAGGAUUUGUGUCUUCCAGGACAUAGUGGAUGUUUGCCCAAGCUCAGAAGUGACUUUCUAGUGCAAUAUUAUAACCCAUUAAACAUCCUCAGGUCAUCACUGAAACACCAGAGGGAGCUAAUCCACCUUCCUCACUUGGAGGCAUCUCCCCACCAUCCUUGGUAGGGCACCAGUAGUUCCAACCUAGUCACAGAGAUACCCAUCUCCUUCCACCUCACUGCUAGGGCCAGAGAUGAUCCUUUCCUUAGUGUUCGUAAAGUGCUUUGCAGAGAUAAAGCUCUGCCUAAGUGCUAAGUGAUUACUACCCAUCUUCUGCCAAUGAUUAAAGGCAGAGAUUAACUCCUUUCCCCUACUCUCAGCAACAUGUAUAAGCAGUCUGCAUCAGGAGGAAAGCCAGCCUGCUAGCCUCAGCCUCCCUAUGCUACAACAUCCCCUUUCCCCCUCAAAACCACUCCAGUUCAUUAUGUGCAUUCCUGGACACCAUCUUUAUAGCGUGUGUUGGGUGUGUGAAGCAAGUCAGCCUUACCCUGUGCUCUGCAAGAGUGGGUGAUGUGAUGGCACUUACACAACUGCUCUAGGGGAGCUCCUGAACAAGCUCUCAGCAAGGGGAACAACACUGCUCUUUCCUGAAGGAUCUACAAAGAGGAAAAGUAACUUCUUUUUGCUUUUAAAAGCAUUUUACUUUUAGAAAUUACUUGGAAUUCAAAGGGGUUUCUUCCCUCUAGUUCAAGACAGUAGAGAAAAGGUCACCUUUGGAACUUAAAACCCCAGGGACAGUAUUUUACUGCCCAUUUAACAAAGCCCCUGUGCUUCUGAAGGCCCUGUAAUGUGUAAGGAGCAGGAACACAGCAUCCCAGGCUAAAGUGUGGGACUUGGACACAAAGUCCAGUUCACUUCCAUGCACCUGAGGUUAUAACCUCAGUGUGCACUGAUGGAAAUAAAGUGCUCCAGUCCUGACUUGAUGGCAUUUGAUGCCACUCGUGCUCUGUUUGUGUGGUGCUCAGCACAGAACAGCCCUGACUCAUGGCUGGGGCUUCCAGAGACUACUCGGUGAUCACAGCUAAAGGCUGUGGGAUAACAGGAUAGGGAUAACAGAAGCCCAGAGGCUUGCUAUGAGCCUGGGAAGCACAGCAUCCUCCCACAGUGGAAAGAUCACAGUAAGGAAGGGAAAAGAGGGCCAUAAAUACCUCUGUGAUUACAAGGAAGCUAAAAUGGGAAUUUCUCUUCCAGUGAGGGAGGACAGAUCUCCAGCGAGAUUGAUUGGUAACUGCAGAGCUUGGAUAUGAAGGUUUUGUGUCAAUGAAAGGCCUUUUACAGGUCACAGUAUGUUUAAACUCUCUCAAUAGGUAGUUUCUCUCCUGCUCCCAUCAGUGGCAAGUGCCUGCCUGGAAAGGUCUUGGAGGCUCCUCCAGGCCCUGAGGUUCUGCACAGCAGUGCUCAGGGAGUUCUCCUGGUGCCUUGGUCAAGCUUUGCAGUGUGGUGGUGUGCAAUGGAGAGGCAGCCAAGGGAGGGUGGCUGAGGGAUGCACAAUGCUUCCCCCCAGGCUCUGAGCCACUUGAAAAGCAGAGGACUUGCAAUCAUACCUGCCCAUCCUCUCUCCCCUUGGAUCCCAGAGGGAACAAGCACAGGAAGGAGAGAAUGAACAUGCUUUUUGCUGAGGGAAAGCCUCCCUAUUUGCUUAAUAAAUACCUUCCAAGAAGCUUAGCAGCUCUGUAAACAUACAAGAGAUUUCAAUACUUAGUAAAAGUCCAUCUUUUCCCUGAACUCCCAAUGACAGAGGCUGGCACUGAUCUGUGAUUAUGGCAUAUGGGUGGUGUGAGGACCCAGCAGAGGCUCCCAGGCU
rnacentral:lncRNA from 1 species